UUUUCUUGCGUCUGGAAGUCCAAAGUGUCGCCUAAGAUUAAGAUUUUCCUUUGGCAAGCUUUUAGAGGCCGCCUUCCUGCGGCCGACCAAAUUCGCAAGCGCAACGGGCCGGGCUCGGAGUUCUGUCAACUUUGCGGUGCUUUGGAAAACACGGAACACAUCUUUUUUCACUGCGUGUUGGCUAAGUUGGUGUGGAGCUGUGUCAGGUCUUGGCUCCAGGUUUCUUGGAACCCCUCUUCCUUCUCUGAGCUUAGAAACCUAGCCAAAGUUUUGGUUGGGGUCACCAAGAGGGUGUUCUGGGUCGGCUUGGGCGCCUUAUGUUGGGCUUUAUGGUCCAUUAGGAACAAAUUUACUAUUGAGCAUACCUUUCCAUCUAAGCCUGCUGACGUGCUUUUCAAAUCAUGUAUACUCUUGCAGCAGUGGAGAUUAUUGACUAAGGAUGAAGAUUGGGAUGCCCUGGACCUGCUCAUCGCCAAAAUUCGGGCUUCGGCGUCCCACAUCUCCGGGCUGGAUCCUGCCGUCUGA
rnacentral:rRNA from 1 species